rnacentral:rRNA from 1 species
AUCAGUUUUGUAAAACUGUUAGGAUCAGAGGAGGAGCAUGAACCUUUGUCUUCUGCCUUUGAUGGAUCAUCUCCAGCUUCUGCUAUAGUCGCCGUUGACACAAAUCUGGACACAUCCACUCCUGACACUUAUCGGGCACCCCCUGCACCAUUGCCUUAUGAUGUUAGUUUGCCAGUUACAGAAAACCCAGUUUCAUGUGCAGAUCUAGAGAAGUCAGAUAUCAAAAGCAAAACAGAUGAUCAGCAGGAAUCUCUGAAGGUGGAUGAAUACGAAUCAUGUGAAAAAGGUGCCCCUAAAGAUAAGAUCGAGGAGGAGGAUGUUUGCCCUAUCUGCCUUGAAGAAAACGGUCGAAUCUUAGUGCUGCUGCCCCAUGAACAC